rnacentral:rRNA from 1 species
AUUGAACGCUGGCGGCAGGCCUAACACAUGCGAGUCGAGCGGCAGCGGGAAAGUAGCUUGCUACUUUUGCCGGCGAGCGGCGGACGGGUGAGUAAUGCCUGGGGAUCUGCCCAGUCGAGGGGGAUAACUACUGGAAACGGUAGCUAAUACCGCAUACGCCCUACGGGGGAAAGCAGGGGACCUUCGGGCCUUGCGCGAUUGGAUGAACCCAGGUGGGAUUAGCUAGUUGGUGAGGUAACGGCUCACCAAGGCGACGAUCCCUAGCUGUGUCUGAGAGGAUGAUCAGCCACACUGGAACUGAGACACGGUCCAGACUCCUACGGGAGGCAGCAGUGGGGAAUAUUGCACAAUGGGGGAAACCCUGAUGCAGCCAUGCCGCGUGUGUGAAGAAGGCCUUCGGGUUGUAAAGCACUUUCAGCGAGGAGGAAAGGUCAGUAGCUAAUAUCUGCUGGCUGUGACGUUACUCGCAGAAGAAGCACCGGCUAACUCCGUGCCAGCAGCCGCCGUAA